AUAACGGCUAGUUGUGCAGAAAUGCUUUUUGGACUCCCAACGGCUAUAAACGGCUAGUUUCUUCAAUCCAACGGUCAGGAAAGGACUAUUUGGAGGUUGGAGAAGUAUUUAAGAGGGAGUAUUCAUCAGAGGAAGCAAGCUUUUGGGAAAAUACAUCAAGUGCAUUCAAGAGAGAACCCUAGCAAGGCAAGCUUCAUCCAAGU
rnacentral:lncRNA from 1 species